rnacentral:rRNA from 1 species
UCUUGGUCAUUUAGAGGAAGUAAAAGUCGUAACAAGGUUUCCGUAGGUGAACCUGCGGAAGGAUCAUUAAUGAAUUGUAAUGGAGGCUGAUGCUGGGAAAGUCAACUUUGUUGGCCUCCAUGUGCUCGCCGCCCAACAAUAUUUUGUCCAAAUAYAACCACCUGYGCACAUUUCGGGGGAGAGAGAGGGGUGUUCUCUUACUUGUUCCCUCGAUAUACAACCACCGCCUUACAAUAUUGAACGUGAUUGUGCCGCCAGGCUUUUAACGAAAUACAACUUUUAACAACGGAUCUCUUGGCUCUCGCAUCGAUGAAGAACGCAGCGAAAUGCGAUAUGUAAUGUGAAUUGCAGAAUUCAGUGAAUCAUCGAAUCUUUGAACGCACCUUGCGCCCCCUGGUAUUCCGGGGAGCACUCCUGUUCGAGUGUCGUGAAUUCUUCAAGCCUCUGGAUGUUUUUCAUCUCACGGGCUUGGUAGUAUUGGGCUUUGCUGUGCCAUUUGUUGGAGCGGCUUGCCUUAAAAUCAUUAGCUGAUCCUUAUGCGGCAUUGGUUCUACUUGGCGUGAUAACAAUCUGACCGCUGAGGACAUCUCCUGUGGGAUGGCCAAUUCUUCAUCUGGGUUGCUUCUAAUUUGGGCCCGUGCCCCUUUGCAGAUUCUGAUUCUGCUGUGUUGCGCACGGCUCCCUUUUCUCCUUUGACCUCGAAUCAGGUGGGACUACCCGCUGAACUUAAGCAUAUCAAUAAGCGGAGGAAAAGAAACUAACAAGGAUUCCCCUAGUAACGGCGAGUGAAGCGGGAAGAGCUCAAAUUUAAAAUCUGGCAGUCUUUGAUUGCCCGAAUUGUAAUCUAGAGAAGCGUUUUCCGUGCUGGACCGUGUACAAGUCUC